AGAGUAACGCGUAGGAAUCUACCCAGUAGCGGGGGAUAAGCCAGAGAAAUUUGGUCUAAUACCGCAUACGCCCUUCGGGGGAAAGCAGGGGAUCUUCGGACCUUGCACUAUUGGAUGAGCCUGCGUGAGAUUAGCUUGUUGGUGAGGUAAUGGCUCACCAAGGCGACGAUCUCUAGCUGGUCUGAGAGGAUGAUCAGCCACACUGGAACUGAGACACGGUCCAGACUCCUACGGGAGGCAGCAGUGGGGAAUAUUGCACAAUGGGCGCAAGCCUGAUGCAGCCAUGCCGCGUGUGUGAAGAAGGCCCUAGGGUUGUAAAGCACUUUCAGCAGUGAGGAAAGGUGCGUAGUUAAUACCUGCGUACUGUGACGUUAACUGCAGAAGUAGCACCGGCUAACUCCGUGCCAGCAGCCGCGGUAAUACGGAGGGUGCGAACGUUAAUCGGAAUUACUGGGCGUAAAGCGCGCGUAGGUGGAUUGGUCAGUCAGAUGUGAAAGCCCAGGGCUCAACCUUGGAACUGCACCUGAUACUGCCAAUCUAGAAUACGGUA
rnacentral:rRNA from 1 species